rnacentral:sRNA from 1 species
AUGAAAAUGGCAGCACUAGUUUUGAGAGAUUUGUGCAACGUACACAUUUUUUUUUGCAACCCAACUGAUUUUGUUAGAGAAUCAAAUAUUUUACUUCGACAUAGUCUACAUCGAAUUUAAAGAAUUUUAUUUUAUUUUACGGUAUAUGAAUGGUGUUUAGUUGAAUUGUUCAGUCAUUUGGAUACUUCCGGUAUAUGUGCGAGAUUCUGGCGAGAUCUUGAGACGUGAUAUUAUCGUCAUGUGUUGUUAUGUUUAUUGAUAGUCUUUUGUGUUGUUUAAAAUUAAAAUCAGAUCAGAAAAAAACAUCAAUUAUGAUACAUUUACCAUGUGCAAAUAAACUCGCUUAAGUAAU